UCUGCUUCCUUCUCUAUCUCUUAAGCUUCCCCUCUCAUUUCCAUGGCGUUUUGCUGAUUUGAGCCCAAAAAACAUAGAUAAGAAAAAAGUUCCUGCAUCAAAGGAAAAAAAAAAAGAUUCACCCGAUACCCAUUUACAUGAAAUAAUCCUUCACCGGAAGAACAAGAAGGAGAAGAAAGAAGAAGAAGAAAGUUUCACUCCCUCUUUAGAUCUAAACGAUAUCAAAUCUUACUUCACUCCCAAACAUUUUUCAAGGGCCAACAUCACUUUUUUCCGUUUUGAUGACUGAUGGUUGUGAUCAAUGAAGAUCUUAUCUGAUUUGAGGUUAUAGUGUUGUGGGGUUUUUUUUAUUUGAAUCCAGUAGUUAUUCACAGAAGUAAAUCAGUUCGAUUUUAGUUUCCAUCUUAGUUGUAUCUGGGCAUGAUUUUGGACUCAAGAGUUGUUACCUUUAUUAUGUACUUCAGUGAUUCGUAACAAGGAUUUAGGGGAUUUUAGAAGGACUUGGUUGCUUUUUGUUUGUUGGGUUGAAUAUAUGGCUUUUGAUUAUCAAAAUUGGAAAAAGAGAGUUAUGGAGACACUUGUUGUGGUGGCACACCAUAGGAAUCAGUACUGUAGCAGGGUGAAGCCACACGAUCCUGCCAGAUUUGGGUCAUCACCACCGUCUAGAAAUUUCAGAGGGGUCAAUUGCAGGAGUUUUCAAUCCGGAGCAGGAUUGCUCCCAACCCCAUUUAAGUAUAAUUCUACUCCUUCAACCAAACAGCAUCUCCUUUUGCAUCUCCUUUUGCUGAUGGAAGACACUCAAAACCCACCUGGAAAAGCUCUCCUAUUCCUAUCAACAGCAGUAGGACCCCUAGAAAUGGUAAGCCUUUUACCGAUGAGAUUUCAGGGGAAGGUUUUCUUUAUCCUGAGCUUUGGGCUGGACCAGCUUAUUCCAAUUCGCCGCCUCCGAGUUCUUUGCCGAUACCCACAUUCUCACUUUGGGUGAAGAGGACCAUGUCGCCUGAUUUGCGUGCUGCUGACCCUGUUGUAGAUGUUCACCAAACUGCUAAGUCUGCACCUGCAUCUCCUACCAGGGAGCCUAGCCCUUCUGUAGCUGAACUUUUUCUUAGUGCUGACUCUGCGACUGCGACUAAGGCUUUACGCCGCAUUCUCAACCUUGACAAUACUGAAGAGUGAAAAGAGUGGAGUUCUUCAGCUCCUGUAAAUAAGUUCAUGUGCAAAAUUUGAAGUUUGUUUUUUAGAUUGUAUAGAGAUUGAAUAAGACCGUUGGUAGCAUGGGUCAGUAUGUGUUGGUUUAACUUUCUUUGGGUGGUAAUAUGAGAGAGAUGGUAGGUUGACAAUCUCCAGGCUUUCCUUUAUGAGAUGGUUUAGGAGAACUUCUGAUUGACUUAAGGCACAAGCUAUGUGAUCUGUGGCUGUUGUAAGCUUGGAUGGAAGAUGAUUUGAGCUAUUAGGAAGCGAAGGGGAGGUUUCGUUAGAACCAAACAUUGUCUUCUAUCUUUGGAUUGACAUGAAAUCAAACUGAUGAUUUGGUAGUGGAUGACUUUACAAUAUCGAGUCCUUGGUGAUUAAUGUCUGUUUAGUUGUUGUCCUUAAGCUAAUUUCUGAUACAGUGUAUAGACUCUAGUCUGUAGAUCCCCUACUAAAUUGCUUCCCAAAUUCCUUGGGUCUUUUUUCUUAGUGUCCUUUGUUUCUCUUUUUCAACCUUAGACUAAAUUAGCCUGCCUAUAUGACCUUUCUUUUUUCUUUCAACUCCUUUCCUUUCUCCAGCAUUGCCUCAAUUGGCUGCUUAACAAUCAAAUAUCCUCAAUAUAGUCUUACUUGGUAUUUCUCUCUGUUUUCCCUUUCUCGCCACCUUUUUCUGUUUUUUUUUGUAAAGAAAAAGGCGGCAAGGAAAAGUAAAGUGGUUAUCUGUUUCAUCUGAAACUUGUUAGGUUAAUCAGUUCCAUGCUGAGUUGAAAGUGUCGUUCGUGUCUUGUUCAUCCUGGUGUCUAAUGCCCACUGUGAUAGUUGUUUCUUAGAGCCAUCUCUCAUGGAGAUUGUUGAUUGUUCCAAGCUGCUUGCAAGGUAGCGGUCACUGUGGUAAGUCGUUUUCAUGAGGCUUUUGUUAAAGUAGAUGUGCUGAUGUUAGAUGUCUUUAAUGCAAAGCCUUUAGGACCCAUAUCUGUAGCCAGCAAUCGUCUUGGAAAUGUUUGUUUUCGAGUUCUUAAAACGGGAGUCUUGUGUUGUUCUUAAAGUGUCAAGUUAAUAUUCAAACUUCAAAGUGCAGUAUGUUCUUGUUAGCUGUGUUUUGUCACUUAUAUAUUUGUGUUAUGAUGUUAGAGUAUAUCGGAAUAUGAAUCUAUUGGAAUGUUAUCAUACUGGGCAAAGUAGUUUGUCUUUGAAA